rnacentral:rRNA from 1 species
UACGAAGGGGGCUAGCGUUGUUCGGAUUUACUGGGCGUAAAGCGUGCGCAGGCGGUCUGCUAAGAGAGGUGUGAAAUCCCCGGGCUCAACCUCGGAACUGCCUUUGAUACUGCAAAUCUCGAGUCCGAUAGAGGUGGGUGGAAUUCCUAGUGUAGAGGUGAAAUUCGUAGAUAUUAGGAAGAACACCGGUGGCGAAGGCGGCCCACUGGAUCGGUACUGACGCUGAGGUGCGAAAGCGUGGGGAGCAAACAGG